AUUAACCAGCUAGGUUUGCAGGAGCUCCAGGACAACGAGAUUGACCAGCGGGUGCACAGGAGCUCCAGGACAAUGAGUGAUCAUCGGACAUCCUGGAGUUCUGUGCCCACCUGACGAGUCCAACCCAUUCUCAGAUGAAGUCAUGUGACACCUACUGUAGACAGAACCAUUACAGAAAGUGGGCCAGGUCAUGUGUAAUCCCUGCUGUCUAUGGGUUGACAUCAUUACCAACCAAGCAGCUCACAUCACAUAUCCAUGACCU